rnacentral:rRNA from 1 species
AUUGAACGCUGGCGGCAUGCCUUACACAUGCAAGUCGAACGGCAGCGGACCUUCGGGUGCCGGCGAGUGGCGAACGGGUGAGUAAUGCAUCGGAACGUGCCAUUGAGUGGGGGAUAACGUAGCGAAAGUUACGCUAAUACCGCAUAUUCUGUGAGCAGGAAAGCAGGGGACCGCAGGGCCUUGCGCUCUUUGAGCGGCCGAUGUCAGAUUAGCUAGUUGGUGAGGUAAAGGCUUACCAAGGCGACGAUCUGUAGCGGGUCUGAGAGGAUGAUCCGCCACACUGGAACUGAGACACGGUCCAGACUCCUACGGGAGGCAGCAGUGGGGAAUUUUGGACAAUGGGCGCAAGCCUGAUCCAGCCAUGCCGCGUGAGUGAAGAAGGCCUUCGGGUUGUAAAGCUCUUUCGGCCGGGAAGAAAUCGCAUGGGUUAAUACCCUGUGUGGAUGACGGUACCGGAAUAAGAAGCACCGGCUAACUACGUG